rnacentral:rRNA from 1 species
AACGAACGCUGGCGGCAUGCCUAACACAUGCAAGUCGAACGAGAUCUUCGGGUCUAGUGGCGCACGGGUGCGUAACGCGUGGGAAUCUGCCCUUUGGUUCGGAAUAACAGUUGGAAACGACUGCUAAUACCGGAUGAUGACGAAAGUCCAAAGAUUUAUCGCCGGAGGAUGAGCCCGCGUAGGAUUAGCUAGUUGGUGUGGUAAAGGCGCACCAAGGCGACGAUCCUUAGCUGGUCUGAGAGGAUGAUCAGCCACACUGGGACUGAGACACGGCCCAGACUCCUACGGGAGGCAGCAGUGGGGAAUAUUGGACAAUGGGCGAAAGCCAGAUCCAGCAAUGCCGCGUGAGGGAUGAAGGCCUUAGGGUUGUAAAGCUCUUUUACCCGGGAUGAUAAUGACAGUACCGGGAGAAUAAGCUCCGGCUAACUCCGUGCCAGCCGCCGCUGUAA